UAGCUAGUUGGUGAGGUAAAGGCUUACCAAGGCGACGAUCUGUAGCGGGUCUGAGAGGAUGAUCCGCCACACUGGAACUGAGACACGGUCCAGACUCCUACGGGAGGCAGCAGUGGGGAAUUUUGGACAAUGGGGGCAACCCUGAUCCAGCCAUGCCGCGUGAGUGAAGAAGGCCUUCGGGUUGUAAAGCUCUUUCGGCCGGGAAGAAAUCGCAUGGGCCAAUACCCUGUGUGGAUGACGGUACCGGAAUAAGAAGCACCGGCUAACUACGUGCCAGCAGCCGCGGUAAUACGUAGGGUGCGAGCGUUAAUCGGAAUUACUGGGCGUAAAGUGUGCGCAGGCGGUUUUGUAAGACAGGCGUGAAAUCCCCGGGCUUAACCUGGGAACUGCGUUUGUGACUGCAAGGCUAGAGUACGGCAGAGGGGGGUGGAAUUCCACGUGUAGCAGUGAAAUGCGUAGAGAUGUGGAGGAACACCAAUGGCGAAGGCAGCCCCCUGGGUCGAUACUGACGCUCAUGCACGAAAGCGUGGGUAGCAAACAGGAUUAGAUACCCUGGUAGUCCACGCCCUAAACUAUGUCAACUAGGUGUUGGGUGGGUAAAACCAUUUAGUACCGUAGCUAACGCGUGAAGUUGACCGCCUGGGGAGUACGGCCGCAAGGUUAAAACUCAAAGGAAUUUACGGGGACCCGCACAAGCGGUGGAUGAUGUGGAUUAAUUCGAUGCAACGCGAAAAACCUUACCUACCCUUGACAUGCCAGGAACUUGCCAGAGAUGGCUUGGUGCCCGAAAGGGAGCCUGGACACAGGUGCUGCGUGGCUGUCGUCAGCUCGUGUCGUGAGAUGUUGGGUUAAGUCCCGCAACGAGCGCAACCCUUGUCGUUAAUUGCCAUCAUUUGGUUGGGCACUUUAACGAGACUGCCGGUGACAAACCGGAGGAAGGUGGGGACGACGUCAAGUCCUCAUGGCCCUUAUGGGUAGGGCUUCACACGUCAUACAAUGGUCGGUACAAAGGGUUGCCAAGCCGCGAGGCGGAGCCAAUCCCAGAAAGCCGAUCGUAGUCCGGAUUGCAGGCUGCAACUCGCCUGCAUGAAGUCGGAAUCGCUAGUAAUCGUGGAUCAGCAUGUCACGGUGAAUACGUUCCCGGGUCUUGUACACACCGCCCGUCACACCAUGGGAGCGGGUUCCGCCAGAAGUAGGUAGCCUAACCGCAAGGAGGGCGCUUACCACUGCGGGAUUCGUGACUGGGGUGAAGUCGUAACAAGGUAGCCGUAGGGGAACCUGCGGCUG
rnacentral:rRNA from 1 species